AAAUUUUUCUUAACUCCUUUUGAAACUAGUGGUCCAAAUAAGCAUAGACAUGUGUGUAGUUAUAAAUAAUCUCAUUAAAAAUAAAAUAAAAAAUUCUAAGUUAAAUUAUUUCUAAGUAUAGAGAUGUAUUAUUCUCUUGAACAAACUAAAAAAAGUAUGACAUAUUUUGGGACAGAGGGAGCGUUAAAGUGCAAAAAGAAGAAAAGCAACAUGAAUAUACAUGAGCUGGUUGGGUAUGUCUAACUAUGCACCUUGACUAUAUACUAAUAGGAGUCAACAAACCUCAACCAAGUCCCAAUAAAACAGAAUAAAUUUUUGGAACCUUGUGAUUAAUAAUUUGUGGCAGCAAAUCCCUUUUGGUUUCAAGGUAAAACAAACAAGGUAAUAAGUCAAAGUAGACUAGCAGAAUACAAGGUAAAAUACUACCCAACAACUAAGUUGAAACUUGAAACAACAUUAAUGAAUGUGUGUAUAUUUCAAAUGAGCAAAUCAAAUCAGAACUAUGAAUUCUAGACUCAAAAAUCAGUGUUUUCCUUUAAAUUGGGGUUGUCAGAAAUGUCUGUGGUGAUGAUGUUGAUGUCUGUGUUCAUCCAAUCCAAAGCACUGCAAAACAGGGAAACAUACUACAAAGAGGCACCUCUUUAACACAGAGAAAGUAGAAGAAACUACAAAACAAGGACAACAACAACAUGCCAAGAAUGGAUCAUCAUAUGGUCUAUUUCCUUCAUUAUGAUGAUGAUGAUGACGACCCAUCUUCUUCUUUGACCUGAUCAAUACACAAAAUCAAUGAUUACCCAUUACUCAAUUGGCAAAACAAAAACUACCCCUUAACUAAAAGUUUGUUAUAAAAAAAUAGCCUGGUGCACUAAGCUCCCGCUAUGCGCGGGGUUCGGGAAGGGUCGAUCUAUUGUACGCAGUUCUACCCGGCAUUUUUGCAAGAGACUGUUUCCACGGCUCGAACCCGUAACCUUCUGGUCACAUGGCAGCAACUUUACCAGCUACGCCGAGGCUCCCUUUGUAAAAGUUUAUUAUAAUUGAGCAAAACGAUCACAUCUUUGAUGUAAAAUAUAAUUAAUUCAGAUAUAUUACCUUGAGAUAUGAACCUUCUUCUAAGUCUUGGGAGAUCUUAAGCUAAAAGAAUAAUGCAAGAGUAAUUGUAAAAGGAGGGAAGCAGAGGAGAUUGGUUGGAAGGAGAAUAGCUGUAUCAAACCAGCAAAAUUGGGAGGAAUAAGACUGUUUGUAGUUGAACUGAAAAAGAGUUAUAAAGCGUGUGAAUUUCGUGUUGGGUUGUCACAAUUAUAAUCACGCAAGUAGAUAGCACUCCUACUAAUAUAAAAUCUCAGCAACUUGGGUAUCCAGGCUUUUUCUACCGUUAGUAUUCUACAAGUCUAAUCCAAUUGGACCAAAAAUCAGACGUGGCAUUAAGUUGG
rnacentral:lncRNA from 1 species